rnacentral:rRNA from 1 species
UACAGAGGGUGCGAGCGUUAAUCGGAAUUACUGGCGUAAAGCGCACGUAGGUGGCGACGUAAGUCGGGUGUGAAAGCCCGGGCUCAACCUGGGAAUUGCAUUCGAGACUGCAUUGCUGGAGUACGGAAGAGGAAGGCGGAAUUCCCGGUGUAGCGGUGAAAUGCGUAGAUAUCGGGAGGAACAUCAGUGGCGAAGGCGGCCUUCUGGUCCAGUACUGACACUCAAGUGCGAAGCGUGGGAGCAAACAGG